rnacentral:rRNA from 1 species
GACGAACGCUGGCGGCGUGCCUAAUACAUGCAAGUCGAGCGAGCGGCGGACGGGUGCGUAACACGUAAGGAACCUACCGAUAAGCGGGGGACAACAUCCGGAAACGGGUGCUAAUACCGCAUACUUAUCUAUGGCCUUGCGGUGCAUUCGCUCGUUGGUGGGGUAACGGCCUACCAAGGCAAUGAGGCAUAGCCGACCUGUGAGGGUAAUCGGCCACAGUGGGACUGAGACACGGCCCAAACUCCUACGGGAGGCAGCAGUAGGGAAUCUUCGGCAAUGGGCGCAAGCCUGACGGAGCAACGCCGCGUGAGUGAAGAAGGUUUUCGGAUCGUAAAGCUCUGUUGUAAGAGAAGCGGUAUCUAACCAGAAAGCCACGGCUAACUACGUGCCAGCAGCCGCGGUAAUAC